AAAUUAAUUAGCGUUGUAGUUCCUGCCUGGGAACUUGUAAACAUGCAGCAGCCGUGUUGUCCCCCCCGCCCCUGCAGUCCCGUCCCACCCCCUCCCCGAGGUGCAGUCCGAUCUCUCUGACACAAACACUCGAGAACAAAGCUGCCCGCCUAAUUCAGGGAAUUAUCAGGAAGCCUGGAGCUGUGCUGAGAUAAUGAGCCUGAAAUAGCAGCCUGCUGGGUCUGCAGCAGCGCCGGGACCCGGGCUGGGACCCCAGGGGAGGGCAAGGCCAACUUCAGGUGGACGAGCUCCCAGCCUGGUUCCUAGGGAUGCCUGGGAGAACAGACAGCAAGUUCAGUGUCAUCGCUGCAUGGACUGCAUGGAGCUGCCCUGAGUGCUGCCCAACAUGUACAGCUGUCACCCUUGCUGCAGGCAUCAGCCCAGGUGCAUAAAUCCCAUGGAGAGAGGCUGGUAAUUCCUGUUUGCAGGAUGCAGUUCUCCCUGUUGCGAUCUGUGCCACCACGGAAAAGCCCAAGCUCCCCUUUUGAAGCCCUGGGAACACGGAGGUGUGGCCCUGAGCAGAGGAGCUGGACAGGAACACUUCUCUCACAUCGUCCUUGGUGAGGGGAUGACAUUUAAUUGCUGCCAUUGUUCCCAGGCACGAGGCUGCACCAGCAUCACCAGUAUUAGUAGACAGUGGACAGGCAGCGUUCCUCCUGGUGCACAGCGACCGUCCCCUCCUCCCAGCCCGGGGUUGUGUGCGAUGGAGUCUGGGUGCCAACCCUCACCCACAGCCCUCCUCCAGCCGCAGGAACGAGGAGCAGAGUCUGACUAUUGUUAUGUUUGAGUAAAUUAACAGAUCUCUUCAGCAGACUCCCAGAACUCUGUCUACCCAGGCUCAUUUACCAGCGUUAUCUGUGCCAGCGCAGAGCCCAUUGCCCCCUGCCCCUCCCCACAGCACAGCCCCACUGCCCUACAGAGCAGACAGAACCCAGCAAUGCUCAUGGACUUUCUCAGCACAGCUCUCACCCCUGUCUGCAUGCACACACACACAAGAACACUCCCUCAGUGGAUACACGGAAGUUGUCCUGCAAUGCUUUGCAGCCCCCCAGCAAUAUGCAGGGCCACAUUCCUGCCCACUUAGCAGCAACCCAGGGGCUGCCCAGUGCGCUCACCUCACCGUGCGGUGCCUGAGGCCCCACUGCUGCUGUGCUGAAGCUGCUCCGCCAAAUCUCCCACAUCUUGGCCGAGCUGAGCUCCCAGGCCAGCCAGAUUUCUUAUGCUUAGCAAAAAUAUUCAUUAACGACUUAAUCUGCACACACACAGGGGAAGCUUUUAGUGUAUUUGUUCUAGGUCCGUGAAACAGUGAUCUGGCCACUGCUUUAAACUCUGCCUUGAUCUGUGAUCUCAGAGAUGAAGAAUUCAGCAAAAUGCUGCUGGGGGAGAUGUCCCGAAGCAUCCCCUGUGCUCACACUGCAGCGUAACCGCGGACACGCACCGCUCGACCCAGAAAGCGCGUGUUGCAAGAAUGUGCUUUGAGCCACAGCUCAUGGCCAAGGCCAUGGGACCAGCUGUGCUCUUGGUGUUUGUUUGCCAGCUUUGGGAUUUGUGUCACAAACUCCAUGUCAUUUGUGUCCCAGCUGCUGAAAGCACGGAGGAAGCAGAUGAAAGCCUUUUGCAUCUGCUCCCUGGGAGUGCCGGAGUUCCCCACAUGCCACCUUUAAAGCAGUUAAAAUGGCUUUGGGUCUGAGGGCUCUGGGGUCAUCAGCACUGUGGAGUCCUACACUGGGGAAGGAUUUGGCAGAAUGCAGAGGGUGAGACUCUUGGCCCUGGCUUACAUGGAGGGAGAGUGGGAUGGGAGCACAUGAGCCCAUGUCAAGGCACUGCGCUGAUGCCACAGGGGCAGAUGGCUCUGACUGCAGCACCCAGCCAUGUGGGUGCUUUGUGGCUGCCAUGUGAGCACAGCCAGGGCUCAGAAACAUCCUGCUUCUCAAGGUAUGUGCUGAGAGAGCUGAGAUGCUCCUAUGGGACAGCAUGGAACCCACGGACUGAAAUAAGGCAGUGACAAUUGAUGUCCCCCUUCCCGCUCCCUCCACAGACUGUUAUGUCUGAUGCUAACCUGUUACAGCUGAUAACAGUCGCAAAUGCUGCUGCUGCUUUCAUAAAAAUUCGUGGGAUGCCAGAUUAUUUCCACGCGCAAUGGAAACCCUGGGGCCUUGUCGCAUGGCCUUCUGCCCAAACAUCUCCACCACAGCCACUGUGGAAAUGGGGCUGGGAAUGCCUUGAGGCUGGGGCUGCCCAAAGUACUGACCGCUGGCUGAGGACGGAGGGACAGAUGGACACACAGCUCCUAUAGGAGAUUCUAAGCACCGGGGGAACUCCAUGGACACAUCCCGAUGGAAGCUGAGUUCCUCAGUCCCAUGGGAACAUCCGGAGCGUGUUCCAGCCAACAGCCCCUGUGCCCUGAGCAGGAUGUGCUCCCACGGAGCAGCGCGGGGAGGGCGCGGGGAGAGCAGUUGGCAGGAGCGCAGCUGCGGCUCGGUGUGAGUUUCUGGGGGGAUUUUUA